GACGAACGCUGGCGGCGUGCCUAAUACAUGCAAGUAGAACGCUGAAGGAGGAGCUUGCUUCUCUGGAUGAGUUGCGAACGGGUGAGUAACGCGUAGGUAACCUGCCUGGUAGCGGGGGAUAACUAUUGGAAACGAUAGCUAAUACCGCAUAAGAGUAGAUGUUGCAUGACAUUUGCUUAAAAGGUGCAAUUGCAUCACUACCAGAUGGACCUGCGUUGUAUUAGCUAGUUGGUGAGGUAACGGCUCACCAAGGCGACGAUACAUAGCCGACCUGAGAGGGUGAUCGGCCACACUGGGACUGAGACACGGCCCAGACUCCUACGGGAGGCAGCAGUAGGGAAUCUUCGGCAAUGGACGGAAGUCUGACCGAGCAACGCCGCGUGAGUGAAGAAGGUUUUCGGAUCGUAAAGCUCUGUUGUAAGAGAAGAACGAGUGUGAGAGUGGAAAGUUCACACUGUGACGGUAUCUUACCAGAAAGGGACGGCCAACUACGUG
rnacentral:rRNA from 1 species